GAAGCUGACCGGAGACCAGCGGCUGCGCUGACCUGGAUGGACUGCUCAGAAAAACGAGGUAUCUCCAAGACAUGCUGAAUGUUGCUCAACCUAGGGAACUGACAAGCCCAAGAUCCGUGUAUACCAUGCCAUAACUGAGGAACAGUGAUCAGCAGGCGUAUUCUGUGUGCUAUGAUUGUGUCUUCAGAUCGCAUCGUUCAGGGUGUGUCCGCCAAUGACAGUACUGCAGUCCUA